rnacentral:rRNA from 1 species
GACGAACGCUGGCGGCGUGGAUUAGGCAUGCAAGUCGAACGGUAUCAUCCUUUCGGGGGUGAGAGAGUGGCGAACUGGUGAGUAACACGUAGGUUAUCUACCCUCAAGACGGGGACAACCCAGGGAAACUUGGGCUAAUACCGGAUGUGAGCAACUUUUAGUUGUUUGAAAGGUGGCGUAAGCUGUCGCUUGGGGAUGAGCCUGCGUCCUAUUAGUUAGUUGGUGAGGUAACGGCUCACCUAGGCAAUGAUAGGUAGGCGGCCUUAACGGGUGGUCGCCCACACUGGGAUUGAGAUACGGCCCAGACUCCUACGGGAGCAGCAGUCGAGAAUAGUCUACAAUGGUCGGAAGACUGAUAGUGCGACGCCGCGUGAACGAUGAAUCCCUUCGGGGUGUAAAGUUCUUUUAUAUGUGAGCAGUGCUUCUUAUAUUAACAGUAUGGGGAAGAGAUAUUAGCAUAUGAAUAAGCAACGGCUAACUCCGUGCCAGCCAGCCGCGGUAAGACG